rnacentral:lncRNA from 1 species
UCAGUUUAAUGGCAUUUUUAUUGCUACACUUUUAAUGUUUCUGCACAAAGAUCAACCAGGGAAAAAGAAAGAAGCCUGUUUUGAAAAUAUCAAUAGUACAAAAAGUCUGAUUCCCCUUCCCUAGAGGGACUGCUGUAGUUGAUUAGCAUUCUAUUAGAGCUGGUGAUGAUUUCCUAGAAUGCCUUUCUGCCCCUACACUGUGAGCUGCAAGUGCACUGACCUUACACAAGUGCUUAUAAUGCCAAGGACUGCAUCCAGUGUUGAUGCAGGCAGUUGUGCAAGUCUGUAGUAUCACAAAUGGCUUUAAACUGAUCUGUAGAUGAGUUACUGCCAAAAGGGGCAAUCCCAUCCUUCUCCCAUCCCUGCCCUUACCACAGGACUGAACAGCUCCUCUCAUGACUGCAGUAACUCUUGGAGGUUGCACACCGAGCUUGUCAGGGAGCAAAUCUGACUAAAAAAAAGGACCUUUUGUUUGUUCGCCUUCCAGUUAAUUUGAGCUGGAUCAGCUGAUCAGUUCCUGAUCCUGUUCACCACAGUGUCACAAAGGAAGUGGUGAAAACAUGCAACAGUGUCAAAGGGAAGAAAGGGUAGCUCACACUUCGGUUAAAUUCAACAAUAAAAACACAGUCCAAGCUACACAGAUGACUAAAUGUUUCCAAGUUACAUGAUUUCAGCCUUAUAGAUACAAAAUGUGCGCACUACAAUAACCAUGGAGAGAGUUUUAUAAUUGAUACAAGAUGCACAGGGAGCCUAUAAAUGGCAAAAUUAUGUAUUAUGACCAAGCUCUCUAUUUUGUGCUGAUGUGAUAUGAAACUGGCUCAGCCCAUCCUUAGUAAAGAUCUUUAGUUUAUCAAAUGCAGACCUCCAUCACUCUUAGUAUUUAGUGGAAAAGAAUUCACAUAUCAUCUCGGAAAUGCAUAUUAGUUUACUCAUAUACUCCAGUAUUUAAAAAAACUGACCAAAACUGCAGGUGCAGACAAUAAAUCCCAGAAAUGACAUCUCUGCACUUGGAACAGGGAGUGUCACAGACACAGGAGAUGCAGUAGCACGUUCUGUGAUGUUUGCUCCUCUUCCUCACACAGCACACAGAGUGGACCCCAGCCCAGUCAGUCUCUCAGCUGUAGUCUGAUCUUAAGCUGAGAACAAUUCACCAAAACCCUUUCAGCUGGUGACAGACUGCUGAGCUAGUGCCAAUCUCUUGCCCCAAGAUCAUGCUCUACAUCUUCAACACUGCUGAGGUACGUCGGGAAAAGCAAAGAAUAGAACCGGAGAAAAGAAGAGCAGGUAGAUAGAGGCCAUGUAUUCCAGGUGUAUUUAUGUGCCAUAAAACAUUUUUCUUAUGAUCUUCAGCUCUCUGUUCCACGCAGAAGAUUCUUUCCAGCUUUAGUUGUGAAACCACCACAAGUUUUGAACCGGCCACAGAAUUCCAGCCUCCACCUCCUCAUUACAAUUUCUAUACAUAGCUUGUGCUGACACAGAGGUAGGUGGCUUUUCCUGUUCAAUGUACUGGCAGAGGAAAUAAUGCAAUUGCAGCUAGGAAGAAGCAAUUUAUAACAAAACAAAAAACAAGCACUAUUGUGCAUGUUAUUUUUCCUUCAUGUACUUACAGAGAACAAAUCACAGAGAGUGAACCUUUGCUUGAUGGUAUUAGCACAGGGCAAAUACUUAUUUGCAUACAAUCUGCAAACUUACCAGAAGCCUUUUUUUAGUACUCUCCCAAAAUAAUAAAUUUUGUAAGAAUGUUAAUUUGUCAGAAAAAAAGUGUAAGGAGUUGCAAAUUUGUAAAUGGUCUCAUAUGGGGAAAAAUCACUUGAAACAACCCCAGUUUAAUUGACUAUUUAAUCAAAAUCUGACAAACUUCUGAUUUGCAAAAGAAAAAAAAUUGAAAAAUUAAAAAAAUCAUCCUACUUCAAGCAUAUUGAAGUCUGAUACAUCUUCUUUUCUUUAGAUAAAUAUACCUGAGCCUGCUGUCAAGGCUAUGCUUCUCUAUUGUUGGCAUUAGAGGGUAAAGAUCAGAUCAUAUAGCAUUAUGUCAGGAAUAAUAGAAACACUUUCUGCACCUGACUUAAAAACACAACUGCUUAAAACUACCCUGAAUUGAGAAGGACCGUUUGGUUAAUUAAACCAAAAAUCUUCUCUCAGUUCAAGAGCUCAGUAAGAACCCUUAAUUACAUAAUCAAAAAUUAUGUCAGGAAAGAACAUAAUGAAAACCUAAUUAUGCACUUUUUUAGUAUGUGAUUAGUUUUAAGUAGGUGGGUAUGAUUGAGGAAGAGCAAAAGAGGGGAAAUAUGAUAAAAGGAGUGAAUCAGAAAGUGGAAAGAAAAGAAGUAUCAGAGGAGUGAGUAAUAACAAAUACAGCCUUCUCCCAGGGUGUCUUCCAAAAUUGAAUGCUUUGACUUGAAUACAGAAUGUAUGAAAUAACACACGGUUCUUCUCCAAUUAUAUGUGUUUAGGAUUUGACACAAAUCUGAAACCUAUGAAAAAGAAAUAAGCUGCAUUUCCAAUUAAUUAGUGAGUUCAAUACCAGGAAUAUUUUCAAAAAGCUUUGUCCAUCUCCCCUCAUGGGAAGGCUGCAACUCUCCCUUCUCAUUGUGUUGUCACUCUUCCAAGGGAUACACUGAUGUAACGUUUUACAAAAGCUUGUGUGCAGGACCCAUGAUACAGUUUAUAGUAUCUCCUCUUUCUUCUCAAAUCCAGAAUACUUUAUGGCAUGAAGCGGUGUUAAUCUUCAUGUUUUCUCUAGGAUAUUCGGGGUAUCAGGUAAGUGGGGACGCCAAGGAGAAGCACAAGCCUCGGGCACUGCUGUGUCGUCGCACUCACAGGUGACCUAAUAACCCCACAGGUAAAAUCUGAGUUGCUGACGGGAAACUCGUGGGGCAUUGUGGGGACCCCUUUGAGUGGGCUCUGUUUUGCCCAUAUUCACAGUAUUCUUGGGCAGCCACUUCAGACACGUGCACCUCAGUUUCCCUGUUUUCAAAUGGAUGUACUACUUAUGACCUUCUACCACACACCGCGUGUCUAAUUAAGUGCUUUCAGAGUUUAACUGAGUGUGUGUAUGAUAUUAUCUUCUAAUCACAGAUAAUUCCAUCCACCCUUCCUAGCAAUUCUUUUCCUUUGUUCACCAUGUUCACUCUAAGCCUCUAUUUGUUCCAAGUCACUCUGCUGUCAAGUUACCUGAGCAUCUUUAGCUUAAACCUAUUUUUAGGCUGAUGUUAAAAAGAGAAAUGCAAAUGCUCCACUGGCAGUCUAGGUUCCUGAAGAGUCAGAAGCUAAGAAAUUAUUUCUGCAAAGCUCACUGCAAACUACCUCCAUAUAUCUUGCUUGAAGAUUGAUCAUUUGUAGAAAUCAAAGGAAUAGUUCUUAGCUAGAAUAAAUCAGCAGCGGCUUUAGCAAAAUCAGUUAUCUGCAAUGAAUUAUAUAGGGGCAGGUGAAAGUCGAUUCAUGUCCGCUGCACACAGGCCAGAACCUGAUUUUAACCACACACAUGGAAAUCCCUAUUAACUACAUUAUUUUGACUGAAGUUUCUAGAAUUACUCUGCAUAUCUACAGAUGCAAUCACAUCUCACCCAACUUUCUGGGACUUUCCUAGAGCCUUCAGCAGGUCAACAGUAAAUAACAUUUUUUCCUACAAGGCUGAAUACAGCCAGCAUGCAGAUGAACACACCAUGGAUUAUUAUUUUAUUUGGUAUUGUGAUACCAUGUGGAGACCUUAUCAUCUUGCUGCUAUUGGGAGAGACAACAUAAAAAUGUAACAGCUGCAAGCAACUUACAAGCACAUGUAAAUUAAUUACAUCUUCAUGAAAAACCUUGAAUUCCUGGUAAUUGAUGUUAGACUCCUUGUAAUUGACUCCCUGACCGUUUUACAAAGUAGCAGCAUUUUUUUUUUGUUUGCUUUUGAAGUGCUCACUGGAGAACACAUAUUGGCAGUAAGAAUUCUCUUCAAAACGGAACAGUAGUUGUAAACUAUUUCAUUUAAGAAAUAUAUAAAAAUUUAAAACAAAGCAAAAAGAAAACAAGCUAGAAGGAACAUAUUUUCAGGUGGAAUUUCAGUCAGUUGUCGUAUAGUAGCCCUUCAAUAAUAAAAGAGUUUGCUGGCUAAUUACGUAUUCUUUUUCUGUAAAAUAAAAGUCUACAGUAACAACUAAUAGAAUAUCCAUUCAAAAGUAAGGAUUAUGUGCAUGUCUGCAAUAAUUUGAACUUUGUAAAAAUGAAUUUUCCUACGGCCAAAAGAAAACACUUUCUAAAAAACAGUGAAAAAAAUCUUCCUUUAAUUUCCAGUCACAGGUAACAUCCUGUUUGAAAUCCUUACACAGUAAUGCUUUCAAUACUGCCACUAAAGCUAGAGGAGUGUUUUGAAGCAAUGUCUCUUGUACACCAUGGUGACAAAAAGGCACUUGCCCUCCAGCGGCGGAGGCAUGGCUCCAGUAAACAUCCUCCUUAGGCUGUGAUAGGCUCCUGUCUCAGCACUUGUUACGGAAAUGAAAUUCUUACAGGAUUUUUGAGGAAAACACAGGAGACAGAGAUAGCAAAUUAACAACUUUAACAACUUUUGUCACUCAGCCACAGGGUGGGGGCGUAGCUUUGGUGAUGGUGAUUUUUCCUAACAGUGUGUAUUGUUAUUUAAUUAGGAUAUUUUAAAAGAAAAUCUUGCUGCCUGCCUCUUGCCCCAAAGAGAACCCCCCCCACACACCAAAAAAAAAAAAAAAAAAAAAAAAAAAAAAAAAAAAAAAACCCCAAAAAAACCAAAACCAUUUGAUGAUUUUAAAAAAGAGAUAAACUGGACACGAAAUGAUUAAAUAAAUGAAAAUGCUGUAGUGACUUUUAGAAGAAAAUGAAAGGUUAAAUGUAAAGAACUUGAAAGAAAACCAGUGAAUUUAGAGUCUAAUCUGACCUUCUGCAGAUUCUGCUUCCCUGUCCAUGUCCCAGAUCCGCUCUGAAGUCCUCUCCCGCAGCCCAGAGCUGAGAGCUGCACAGAGCCCGGAGGGGAGGCAGAUCCCUGCCCUCGGUGCCUUUCCCUCGGACCCCGACUCUCAUCAGGGGGAUAAGGACCCUGACUCUCAUCAGGGGGAUAAGGACCCCGACUCUCAGGAGAUAAGGACCCCGACUCUCAGGAGAUAAGGACCCUGAUUCUCAGGGAGAUAAGGACCCCGACUCUCAGGAGAUAAGGCCCUUCCCACCCGUUCUUUCCCCUUUUGAACAAUCGUGUUUCAGACCGACUCGGAGUGAGGGGAGCGUUUGUCACUGGUGAGGAUGCAGAAAGUGCUACCGCAGGGCAUCACUGAGCCACGACAACCGCACACCUUGACCCAAGACUACCUCAUUAGGAAACAUGGGGAAAUAAAAUAUUGUCACUUAAUAAAGACAAUUUCCACACCUAGGGCUGAAAGAAUUUGAGAUUUGUUUUUUACACGGCAGACCUGCAGCCUGCUGCAACUGUGUCUUGAACCAAGAGCUGUUUUUUCAUUCCGUGUAAUGCGAUAUCCAUGAAGCCUUGAGAUGAUAAUUGGGUAUGUUAGACUACCAACACUUAGUCCUGAAUAGAAAACUUAAAAACCAGAAUAAUGAUCAAUCAGAAAAGAAAAAAAAAAACAUAUUGAGAAAAAGUUCAAGAGAUAUUUUGGUUUAGCCUAGGGAAGAUGACAAUUAUUACAUUAUUUGUUGCAUUUAGUUUUGCUAAGUUUACUUUUUAAGGUAGUAUAUCCAAUAAGUGUCACUAUUAUUAUGCCUCUUAGGAGUUCGCAUUAUUAACACUUUUAAAUCUUCCUCUUUAAACCUUAUUCCUUAAGUUAAAAAAAAAAAAAAAAAAG